rnacentral:rRNA from 1 species
GACGAACGCUGGCGGCGUGCUUAACACAUGCAAGUCGAACGGAAAGGCCCUGCUUUGGUGGGGUGCUGGAGGGGCGAACGGGUGAGUAACACGUGAGUAACCUGCCCUUGACCUUGGGAUAACUUAAGGAAGCUGGGGCUAAUACCGGCUAGGAGUUCCUGCUGCAUGGUGGGGGUUGGAUGGUUUCGGCGGUUGGGAAUGGACUCGCGGCUUAUCAGCUUGUUGGGUGGGUAGUGGCUUACCAAGGCUUGGACGGGUAGCCGGCCUGAGAGGGUAACCGGCCACAUUGGGACUGGGCUGCGGCCCAGACUCGUCCGGGAGGCAGCAGUGCAGAAUAUUGCACAGUGGGCGGAAGCCUGAUGCAGCAACGCCGCGUGCGGGAUGACGUCCUUCGGUUUGUAAUCCGCUUUCGCCUGUGACGAAGCGUGAGUGACGGUAAUGGGUAAAUAAGCACCGGCUAACUACGUG